ACCGCAAUAGCUCAGUUAGGAGAACGUUAAACUAUAGAUCGAAAAGUCCCUGGUUCGUUCCCGGAUUCCCGCA
rnacentral:tRNA from 1 species